ensembl:lncRNA
AUUUGCUGUAGGCUGGGGUUGUGCCACUCUGCUAUUAUUGCUGUAUCUUCCAUCACAUUAUAGCAUUACAUCAACCUACUUAGCUUCAUGUUAAGUAUAUGUUCAUUUGGUCAACAGCCACGUAACACCUAGAGAGCUAAGGUAAAACCACCUCAGGAUUGCCUGUAAACAGGAAAUGACAAGGACUCUUCAGAAGAGACGCUGUCCCAUUAUCAAGUAGAACUGAGUUUUGUUGGAAAUCCCCAUGCAGACAUUAAUUGACGCUACUGAGGUUCCACUCUUAUUAUGGUUGUGCUUUGCAAAGAUAUUACAGCUGAUAGAGAUGCUAAUAUUAUUACACUUCAUCAUUAAAACAAAUGCUGACACUGAGCUCUGGGGUAAAGUGGUUCCCAGUUAGAUGGAGACUGAGCAAUGCAGGAGAUGUUAUCUCACCUCUGACCUUCAGCAUCACCUCCAUAGUGAGCACUCGAGCAAACGUCCUUCCUCAGCCUGCCCGCACGGAUGCUGGGCUUAUCUGCAUACUGCGCUCUUCUUUCACUGAUUCCAAACAGCUUUCAUGGGGCAUGCCUCCAGAUUCCAGUCACUACAUUUCAAAGCAUUUCAACAGCUUUAUCCUCAACUGCUCUGAAGGUCAUUUUUUUUAAUUGAGAUUCUGUUGCUAAAUUAAAUGUACAUCACUGGCAUCACUUGCUGUGCAGAAGUGAAAGGAUUUGGGCUCUUAAGGAUUCCUGCAAGCAAAUCUUAACAUCUUUGUCCAAUGUAUGUACACUCAGAGAGAUGUCCACUAUGAGCGCUGCUCUGAAAAUAAUGUGUCCUAUUUUAUUAUUUUGUCUCUUGACAUCAGAAGCAGAUGUUUGUGAUGUGGCAGUAGAGGUUGAACUUUCUCACCAAUAUUCCUUUACAUUUUAUUGUCACAUGACAGAUGGCAUGAGAGGGGAGAAAAAUGGCACCCAUUGGCAUUCAUCGACACUUGCUAAAUGUUUAUGGAGAAGAAACACUAGAUGUUAGCACACCGAGCUGGUGGGUGGUACAUCCAGCAUUUAUGCUGUCAUAGAAGCUGUGAAACAGUGGGUCACCUUCUAUGCAGGAAGUCACAAGUUUGACAUGCAGGCUCUUGUACACUGCUGAUGGAAGUGCAUGCCUAACAGUGGUGACUCUGAAAAUGAGCAAACUCUCAGCUACAAAACAUUGUGGUACUAUUGUGUUCUUCAUACUGUAAUUUCCAUGGGGAAUAAAUUAGAGGCAUUACUUUAGAAUCA